GAUGAACGCUGGCGGCGUGCUUAACACAUGCAAGUCGAACGGAAAGGCCCAAGCUUGCUUGGGUACUCGAGUGGCGAACGGGUGAGUAACACGUGGGUGAUCUGCCCUGCACUUCGGGAUAAGCCUGGGAAACUGGGUCUAAUACCGGAUAGGACCACAUUUUGGAUGGUGUGGUGGAAAGUUUUUCGGUGUGGGAUGAGCUCGCGGCCUAUCAGCUUGUUGGUGGGGUAAUGGCCUACCAAGGCGUCGACGGGGAGCCGGCCUGAGAGGGUGUACGGCCACAUUGGGACUGAGAUACGGCCCAGACUCCUACGGGAGGCAGCAGUGGGGAAUAUUGCACAAUGGGCGCAAGCCUGAUGCAGCGACGCCGCGUGGGGGAUGACGGCCUUCGGGUUGUAAACUCCUUUCGCUAGGGACGAAGCGUUUUUGUGACGGUACCUGGAGAAGAAGCACCGGCUAACUACGUG
rnacentral:rRNA from 1 species